UACUUAGUGGCAGACGGGUGAGUAACAUGUAGGUAUCUGCCCUUUGGCCUGGAAUAACACGAGGAAACUUGUGCUAAUACCGGAUAAGUCUUUACGGAGAAAGCUUUAUGCACCAUUGGAUGAGCCUGCACUUGAUUAGUUUGUUGGUAGGGUAAUGGCCUACCAAGACUGUGAUCAAUAGCUGAUUUGAGAGGAUGAUCAGCCACAUUGGGACUGAGACACGGCCCAAACUCCUACGGGAGGCAGCAGUGGGGAAUCUUGCACAAUGGAGGAAACUCUGAUGCAGCGAUGCCGCGUGAGUGAAGAAGGCCCUUGGGUUGUAAAGCUCUUUCGUCGGGGAAGAAAAUGACUGUACCCGAAUAAGAAGGUCCGGCUAACUUCGUGCCAGCAGCCGCGGUAAUACGAAGGGACCUAGCGUAGUUCGGAAUUACUGGGCUUAAAGAGUUCGUAGGUGGUUGAAAAAGUUGGUGGUGAAAUCCCAGAGCU
rnacentral:rRNA from 1 species